UUUGGGGGAGGCAGGGCCUCCGGGCGGCUUCUGACCAAUCAGGAGCAGAAAGGGGGUCUCAGGCCCCACCCUGAGGUGGGGAAGUCACGCGCCUGUUGCGCGAGCCUGUUGUGAAAUGGAGAAUGGGGGUGGGGAUUCUGUGGCUGGUUCUGGGAAGUCGAGGGCUUCUGAGGGUCUCUCCGGGAGGUGGCAGGAGCCCGGCUAUCACCCGCUGCCUCCCGAGGUGCACACAGCACGAAGCUGGAAUCGGAACUGGAACCCAGGAGCUCAGAGCCGGCGCCUGGGGCGUCCUGAGAGGUAUCUUAGCCACGCGCCAGGCAACGUGCAAGGGCCCACAGGUGGAAGAGGCCGAGACAGAGACGAGGACAGCCAGGACGUGGGGCGGCAGAAGCAGAGAGGGACAGCGGCGACCCCGGGGCUCUCCCAGGUCUCACUCUGCCACCUUCUGCCCGCACUCCCUGGUGUGCGUCUCAGGUGUGCCGCACCUCUCCUGCAGGGUCACUGGGCCAGCCCCUUGCUGUCCGUGUCAGCCCUGGCCCGGGCCUAGGCCCUUCCCUUGGAGCCCUGUGGCUUGGGUAACUUCGCACACGGCCCCAGGGCACUGCCUUGCGCCCCGAAUCUUCCUGUUCCCCAGCCCACCCCAGGAAGCUGGGAACUUAGGGUGUCCCUCAUCCUGCCCCACCCCAGAGCAUCCCCCUGUGCUGCCGUAGCAGCAGCCCCCUUGAGGGGUGGGGUUGGGACGGACCCAGCCCCAACCCAGACAGCACAGGGCACCUCCAGAGCGUGAGGAGAGCUUCAGGCCCGGGAACGACCCCAGCGGCGAGCAGGCUGCCCGCCGGCCCGGCGUGGGGAAGUGGCUGGGCCACAGAGGCCACAGGCCAGUGACUCAGACUGUGCAGUGCGGCCCAAAGGAGGUUUAUUGCCCCCGCCCAGGCCUCCCUCCCCUCCCCACCCCCAAUAAUUACAAAAGUAAGAAAAACGCCUGUGUCCCCGGAUCCCCAACCUUCCAGAAAAAUGUCAUAAUUUAUGCAGAAAUGGCACAGUCCAAAGGCAGCUGGCAGCCUCAACCCAUCUUCUUCCAGAUGGUGAGCGAGGCGGUGAGCACUCCGGCCCCCAAGAUGGUCAGUGUUUGCCACGUGGGGGUCCCAAAGUAGGAGAGGAGGCCGUCCUGGGGACAGGGACAUCAGCCGCGUCAGCACUUGGCCAGAUGUGAACAGGGAAGUCACAGGGCAUGGUGGGUGGGGACAACGGCCUAGGAUCAGGGGGGCCUAACGGGCUGGGGCCAAGGCCCUGAGGAAGCGGAGGCACCAGGGAGGGCAGGAGCCAGUGGGCAGCGGUAAAUCAGGACUGACCGGACGCUAAGGGAACCCGUUAUAGACCGUAUGCGACCAUUUGGAAGUGAAAAGGGGGCACCCUGUGCUCGGCUCCUGAAAGCUCGGGGGUCUCAGAGGUGGGGAAGGGCAGAGGGGUCUCACCCAACCACCCUGGUCUUGGAUCCAGCCCAGCAGCCGCUCUCGGAGGAAGUCCAGCGUCCAGCCCAUAAUAGUUCUGAUGAGCUCAGGCACCUUGGUGCACAGGGCCUGCAGGGAGCAGGGUGGGCGUCAGGGAUUGAGCCUUGUCCCCCCUGCUUGGAGACCGCACUCCCACACCUCCUGGCUCAGCCCCCUGCCUCCCCUCGCAAUCUUCCACCCGCAGCCAGUCGGCAUCAUAGCCCACAGCCCUGGCCAGCUGCCCCCAGGCCUGGGGCUCCCUCCCGAGGCGCAGCUCGGCCCUGGUGGACUUCGAUCAUCCGUCCCACUUCUCUUCAUCCCCACCAAACCCUCCCUCGGUGCCUUGUGCAGGCCGACCCUGCUGUUGCAGGCCACCCCACUCGCCCGGGAGCUCAGGUCAAAUGUCACCUCCGCAGAGAGGGCUUUCCUAGGCCAGGGGAGACCGGCACCUGCCCACGCCCCCGCCCCACCCCGGGCUGCUCCCCCACUGUCCCUGGCUCCGUUGCAGCCUGGCAGUCACCCCCCAGCCCCAGCAGCUGAGUCUUGAAGACACCCACUCCCCACCUCUGCUGCCGCCUGGGGCGAGGCCAGGCGCCACCGCACCGUUCUCGGCUUCUGCUCUGUGCCCCACAGCCCCCCCGCUGCACCCACAAUCACCAGGAUGAUUCCUCGGUCCGUCCCCACCAAUAGCUCUUUAAAUUAUCUCUGUUUUUCAUAGAGAAAAGCCGAAAGGAUUUCACAGUGAACAGACUUCUUAAGGUCAGCCAGGGGCAGGUGUUUGGUUACGACUUUGCUUGAGGGGCUUGGGGUUGGGGUGCAGUGGGUCAGGUCGCAGGCAUCCCGCACGGGCACUGGGUCACGGCCAUGAUGGAGCGCCAGCCCCGGCCGUGGCGGCCCUCUGGGGAGUGAGCCAGCAGGUGGAAAUCGGUCUCUGUAACUCUGUCUUUCAAACAAAUGAAUCUUCUAAGACACUGCUUAGGAUGCUGGCCUUGUCAGGCUCCCGGGUUCCAGCCUGGCUGGGCUCCCAGUCCCAGCUCCCUGCUAGUACGCGCCCCGGGAAGCAGCAGCCGGCGGCUCGGGCACUCGGGGCCCUGCCACCCACUUGGGAGGAGCAGCCGAGAGCGCGUCUGGGACUCGCAGACUGGCUGUGCGGGCACUGGGGCAUGGACCAGCAGACGGGUGAUCUCUCUGUCUCUGUGCCUUUCAAAUAAAUUAAUAAUAAAGCUUUCCAGUUAAAUAUA